rnacentral:ncRNA from 1 species
AGGUGUUAACCUUCAGCACAAACUUAGCUCUCUCUAGGCUUAUACAUGAUACUAUAUGGGAGGUGGGAGUAUUAAGCUGUUUAGGCUUCCUUAUCGACAGUUGUUUUGGUGUAUUUAAAAUAGGGGGUUUCUUUUCAGAUUUUUAGUAUAGAUUUAAGAGUUUAUAAACUUAGGGUUUCUUCCUACUUCAGUGAUUAAGUUUAAACAAUUAUGGAAACAUAGAUUUAGCUAUGAUAGAGAAAAAAGGAGGGUAAUAAAGUGCCAGCACCUGCGGUCACACUUUUUCCUUAAGUUAAGCCUAUCGUGAAAGUUGGGAUAGAAAAAUAUAGAAGAUUAUUUUUGAUUAUUUUGGUGAAAUAAAUAAGUAAUUCGGUAAAUUUUGAGGCUUCUUACUCUUUUUCCAAAAAAGACUGCUCUGGGGGACGGGGAUUAGGUACCCCCUUACCAAUGUUGUAAAUAUUUCGCGGUUAGUACGAAUCAAUUUUGUUUAAAAUCUAAGAAGGUUGGCGGUGCUUUACAUCCUUUUAGGGGAACUUGGCGGUUAAUUCGAUGAUCCUCGACAACUUCACCUUUUAUUUUCUUUAUAUACCGCCGUUGCCAAUGUCCUUUUUAUUAGAAAUACUGAUCAGUGGAGUAUAGUUUAGUGUUUUUACUAGGUCUAUUAGAAUUCAGGUAAACGUGUAGGUUAUUAAAAGGGCUUUGCUGAGUUACAUUUAUUUAAUAAUACGGAUAUGGGGGUUGAAACACUCAAUUAAAGGCGUACUUGUUAGUAAUUUUUUUUAUUGAAGAAAAAUGAAUGGUGUAAGUAAAGCGCGUACAAAUCGCCCGGUGCCCCUAUAUGUUAAAAUUUGGGUAAGCCGUAACAUAGUAAUGCUACCAUAAGGUGGUUUUAAAUGAGGCCAAAAGUACUAG